GGGAAGAAAAGUCAGUAGAGAAGGUAGGCAGUGCUUGCAAAGGCCUGAGUCUGAGGUACUUCUUUAUAGCACUGCAAGAAUGGACUAAUACGCUAUGUGAAGACAAAGGGGAUGUCUGCAAGCCAGGACGAGUGCGUCUACCAGAAACUGAGUUCUGCUGGACUUUGAUCUAGGACAUCCAGCCUCCAGAAUGGAAUGUGCCAUAUGUGGAGACCUGCAUGGAAAGGAACUGAGGAUGCUCUCUCACUAAAAGCUAGAAGGAACUGAGGCCCUCAGUCAACAGUCUACAAGACACUGAAUCUUGCCAGCAGCCAAGCAGUGAGCUUGAAAGCAGAUCUAUCAUCAGCUGAACCUUCAGAUGAGACCGCAGCCUAAGCAGAUACCUUGGUUGCAGCCAUGUGAGACAACCUGAAACAGAGGGCACAGCUAAGCCUCAGCCAGGUUCAUGACCCUCUGAGGAAACUGUGAGAAAGCAAAUGUCAUUUUAAGCUAUUUAAUUUUGGAGGUAGUUUAUUACACAACAAUAAAUAACUAUUAUAAUUAUCUUGAGGAUUUAUUUCCUGGGGAGAAUACAUGGAAUUGCAUAUAUAGGUCCUCAUAUGCAGAAUACUGGUACCCUAGAGAUGUUCACCCCAGAGAUGUUUUAGGAACCUGUGAAUAUGUUACAUUAAAUGGCAAAGUUUUCCUGGAUGGUUUAAGUUUAAGAUGGAAAAGUUUUACUGGAUUAUCCAGUGGGUCCAAUCUAGUAACAUGAGUCCUUAAAAAUGGAGAAUAUUUUUUGGCCAUGAUCAGAGAGACAUGUGAUGAUGGAAAAAGUGUCAGAGAUGCAAUGUGAGGGGACUAAAACUGCUGUUGCUGACUUUAAAGAUGGAGAGAGGGGAACCCGAGUCAAGGAAUGCAAAUGGCCUCUGGAAGCUGGAAAAAGCAAGAAAUGGAUUCUCCUUUAGAGCCUGUGGAAUAAAAUGCAGUCAUGCUGACACCUUGAUUUUACCUCAGUGAGACCAAUACUGGAGUAUGACCUUCGGAGCUGAAUAAAAUUAUACGUACACAUCUUAAUUUCUUGGGAUUUGAUUACUUCUUCUGCUUUGAAAUUAGACCAAGUUUAGCCUGCCUUUGCUAUUUUGGCGUAUCUCCAAUUCUUCAUGAUUUUCUCAUAUUCUUAGGGAUUCUGAAAAACACCUUACAGACCAUGUGAGAGGUAACGAGGAGGCUCUCCUGGACUGAACUGUGUCCCCUCCAAAUUCAUAUGUUGAGACCCAAACUUCCAAUGUGACUGUAUUUGGAGCUAGGGCCUUUAAGGAGUAAUUGACAUUAAAUGAGGUCACAGGGUUGGGACUCUAAUUUAAUAGGACUGGUGUCCUUAUGAGAAGAGAAAGAGGCACCAGGCACCAGGCAUGUGAGCCCACAGAGGAAAGGCUAUGAUGUGAAGACAGAGAGAAGGCCAUCACACACAAGCCAUGGAGAGAGGCCUCCCCAGAAACCAACCCCACCGACACCUUGAUCUCGGACUUCCAAGCUUCAGAACUGUGAGAAAAUAAAUUCCUAUUGUUUAAGCCACUCAGUCAGUGGAAUUCUGUUAUAGCAGCCCUAACAGACUAAUACGGAAGUCAAGUAGACAAGUCUGGUCUCUGUAUUUCUAUUGGAACUGGAUUUACUCUGCUCCUAUGAGUUAUC
ensembl:lncRNA LINC01748 long intergenic non-protein coding RNA 1748